rnacentral:rRNA from 1 species
GAUGAACGCUGACAGAAUGCUUAACACAUGCAAGUCAACUUGAACUUCGGUUUGGGUGGCGGACGGGUGAGUAACGCGUAAAGAACUUGCCUCACAGCUAGGGACAACAUUUGGAAACGAAUGCUAAUACCUGAUAUUAUGAUUAUAUGGCAUCGUAUAAUUAUGAAAGCUAUAUGCGCUGUGAGAGAGCUUUGCGUCCCAUUAGCUAGUUGGAGAGGUAACAGCUCACCAAGGCGAUGAUGGGUAGCCGGCCUGAGAGGGUGAUCGGCCACAAGGGGACUGAAACACGGCCCUUCCUCCUACGGGAGGCAGCAGUGGGAAAUAUUGGAAAAUGGCCCGAGAGUCUGAUCCAGCAAUUCUGGGGGAAAAAUGAAGUUUUUCGGAAUGUAAAGUGCUUUCAGUUGGGAAAAAAAAAAUGACGGUACCAACAGAAGAAGGGCCGGCUAAAUACGG